AUGGAUAUGUGCCCGGUUGGCGGCUGCGACCGCCGGGAACCACGUCGUUUGUGCGCGGUGACCGGUGGGCGGGGAUUCAUGGCGAGUCACCUGGUGACGGCGCUGCUCGGCUCGGGAGAUUGGUCUGUGCGGAUCACCGACCUUGGCCCCCAGGCUGCCCUGUCUCCUGCCGAGAGUGAUGGACUCCUGGGCGCUGCCCUCCGCGAUGGCCGCGCCGCCUACGUCUCUGUCGACGUCUGCGAAUUAGCCCAGCUUACAAAAGCUUUGGAAGGGGUAGAUACUGUUUUCCACACUGCUGCGGCGGAUCAUACCAACAACAACUUCCAACUUCAUUACAAGGUUAAUGUCGAGGGUACGAGGAAUGUCAUCGAGGCUUGUAACACAUGCAAGGUUAAAACACUCAUAUAUACUAGUUCCAGUGGAGUUGUAUUCGAUGGAGUUCAUGGCCUCUUUGGCGUAGACGAAUCUACACCGUAUCCAGAUAAGUUUCCCGACGCAUACACAGAGACAAAGGCAGAAGCAGAAAAGAUGGUGAUAAAGUCCAACGGAAGAAAUGAGCUUGUCACUUGCUGUAUACGUCCUGGCAGCAUUUUUGGUCCUGGAGACACGAUAGUGCCAAUUUUAGUAUCUUAUGGAGGAAUGAUGAUCAUUGUUGGUGAUGGCAAGAAUUGUGAUGAUUUUGUAUAUGUUGAGAAUGUAGCGCAUGGUCAUGUAUGUGCUGAAAAAACUCUUUCUACCAUAGACGGUGCAAAGAGAAGUGGAGGCAAAGCCUAUUUUAUAACAAAUAUGGAGCCUGUAAAUAUGUGGGACUUUGUUUAUAUGAUUUUGGAAGAACUUGGAUACAAAAGCCGAUUCAGAUUAAGAAUACCUUCGUAUUUUCUCAAGCCAAUAACAUAUCUGGUAGAUUGGAGCUACCAUAAUAUAUUCUCUCACUAUGGAAUGCGUCAACCUGGCAUGCUAACUUCCGCAAGCAUUAAGUAUGCAACGCUGAAUAGAACGUUCAACUGCAACAAUGCUGCUCAACAACUUGGUUACAAACCAAUAGUGUCACUCAAGGAGGGAGUAAAGAUGACUACUGAUUUCUACAGGCGAUUAAGAGCAUGA
rnacentral:rRNA from 1 species